CCGGCAAAACCGAGACCACCAAGGACCUGGCGAAAGCCUUGGGCUUGCUCUGUGUUGUCACCAACUGUGGCGAAGGCAUGGAUUACAGGCCGUGGGGAAGAUUUUCUCUGGCCUGGCACAGUGCGGGGCUUGGGGCUGCUUUGAUGAGUUUAAUCGAAUCGAUGCUUCUGUGCUCUCCGUGAUCUCCUCCCAGAUCCAGACGAUCCGAAAUGCUCUGAUCCAUCAGUUAACCACGUUCCAGUUGAAGGGCAGGAGAUUUCCCUGGACUCCCGCAUGGGCAUCUUCAUCACCAUGAACCCCGG
rnacentral:lncRNA from 1 species